GAUGAACGCUGGCGGCGUGCCUAACACAUGCAAGUCGAACGGACAUUUUUUGGAAAGUUCUUCGGAACCGGAAUCUAAAUGUUAGUGGCGGACGGGUGAGUAACGCGUGAGCAAUCUGCCUUUCACAGGGGGAUAACAGUUGGAAACGACUGCUAAUACCGCAUAAGCGCACGGUAUCGCAUGAUACAGUGUGAAAAACUCCGGUGGUAUGAGAUGGACCCGCGUCUGAUUAGCUAGUUGGUGGGGUAACGGCCUACCAAGGCGACGAUCAGUAGCCGACCUGAGAGGGUGGCCGGCCACAUUGGGACUGAGACACGGCCCAA
rnacentral:rRNA from 1 species